GGUAGUCCACGCUGUAAACUAUGGACACUAGGUGUGGGGGUAUCGACCCCCUCCGUGCCGAAGCUAACGCAAUAAGUGUCCCGCCUGGGGAGUACGGCCGCAAGGCUAAAACUCAAAGGAAUUGACGGGGGCCCGCACAAGCAGCGGAGCGUGUGGUUCAAUUCGAUGCAACGCGAAGAACCUUACCUGGGCUUGACAUGCACGUGGUACGACCCUGAAAGGGGGAAGGACCCGCAAGGGAGCGUGCACAGUUGCUGCAUGGCUGUCGUCAGCUCGUGCCGUGAGAUGUUGGGUUAAG
rnacentral:rRNA from 1 species